UGGUGGCAGAGGGGGAGAGAGAUGUCUGAAGAAUUCUCAUCUUUGCAUCCCCAGUGCCCAGCUCACUCAUGCCUCACAGAGCAGGGCUGACAAGUACGAGUUGUGAGUCCUAUGAAGAUACCAGAAUGGGUCAGGUGAAAGGCGAGGCUAGGGAGAACUCAUCAGGAGGGUCUUUAUUUUAGUCUCCAUCAUUUAUCCCUUAUUGUGAUUCAUUCUGUUUUCUUUUGAAGACUCAAAAUUAGACACAAAGUUACUUCAAAAAAUUUCCCGAUUCACCUUAUUUCUGAGUCUUAUUGUAGAGUUACCUCAUUUUUCUCGAAUGCUCUUUGACACCACCAUUUUAUUUACUUUAUUUGGAGAACAUUUUUCUUUCACUGGAGAGGCUUGAGAUACUCCCAGCAGGUUGUCUGUGAUUCCCAGAACACCAGCUUCAAAGUCCCUGAGUCUGGAGCUCAGGGGUGUCUCCAAGGAAGACCAUCAUCUUCAGGGAAAGCCAAUGGACCAGAGGGUGGCUCAUUUAUAUGCUAAAUAGAGGACAACCCUGAAGUCCAGUCCAGCUGAAAUCAAAUCAACACCUCGUCCUUGUCUUGGGGGUGCUCUCCCUGGUGGAGCCUGAAGACAGCGCCAUUCUACUCCAGUAGAAUGAACUUCGGGCUGGCGCUCUUGAUAAUGUGGUUCAGCCCACAGCCCCGUCCUUGCCUCAGUGCAUGACUUCGGACAAGCAUCGGGGAAGCCACUGAUAACAGACGCUGAUAACUCUGGCAGUAACGGCUUGAAAAACCACACGUUCUGCUCGUUCACCUGUC